GGGGGUGUAGCUCAGUGGUAGAGCGCAUGCUUUGCAGGCAUGAGGCCCUGGGUUCGAUACCCAGCACCUCCA